rnacentral:rRNA from 1 species
UACGAAGGGGGCUAGCGUUGCUCGGAAUUACUGGGCGUAAAGGGAGCGUAGGCGGAUAGUUUAGUCAGAGGUGAAAGCCCAGGGCUCAACCUUGGAAUUGCCUUUGAUACUGGCUAUCUUGAGUACGGAAGAGGUAUGUGGAACUCCGAGUGUAGAGGUGAAAUUCGUAGAUAUUCGCAAGAACACCAGUGGCGAAGGCGGCUCACUGGCCCGGUACUGACGCUGAGAUACGAAAGCGUGGGGAGCAAACAGG